GUCAUUCUGUUUUCGAAAGUCGUAGUGAUAAGACGUAUCGUUCGACGCGAGGUGCGCGAGUAAUUUAGUGCUUCUUAUUUACAAUUUUUAUAAGUAUUGCGCAGUUCUCUUUUAUUCGAUUAACCACGUGUUCGUUUAACAAUUUAUCGCACAGUGAUUGUUCGAUUAAUACGUAUAAAUGGACGAUCGUGUUAAUAGUUAACUUUUUAUUAUUUUUUUUCUUUGCAAAUAUUCGUUUUUGGUACAAUGUGGUAGAGUCAGUGCUUGUUUCAAGAGAAUAAGGCGAUCAUCCAUCACCCGAAGAGAUAGCAUCCCUUCGAUUUAACUACAGGAUGAGUACUUUUCUCAACUCUACGAGGCGAAGAGGUUUCUCGAGGCUGUUGCACGGCUAUCGAAUAGAAGAUCUGUGGGAUGUUUUCGUUUUCGAAAGUGAAGCGGGUUGGAGGAUGCUCGAGCGUCUCGCUACGGUGCACAAGAUGCGUAUCGUGCGUACACGCGCGCGCGGUUGCGUCGCGCACGCCCCCGCAGACACGAGAUGCCAGAUUGCAGAGAGGCCGACUUUGCGCACAUGCAACCGAAAGAUUUCGUCUUAUUGCGGCUAGCUUCGAGCCUACCGACUCGAUUACCGGCUCGUUAGUUAGCAGAAGCGGCCGCGAAACGGUCGUUAAUAAAAUUUAUGUGUCGCGUGAUCCGUCUCUCGGAUAAAAUAACGAAAACUAUCGGAUUAGCUAUUCGAAGAAAAACUGCGGAUCGACGUCGGUGAAUUUCGUUCGGCCAAUUUGGAAUGUUUUCGAGUGGGAUAAAAUUUCCUCGAUGGAACAAGUAAGGAACGAAUCACCCUCGUCUCCUUUCACGAACGAAUAACGCGUCGGAAGGCGGUAACCACGAGGGCAAGGUUCGAGAGGAAUGCAUCGGAGAUAAGGAGGACCCGACGCGCGAGAGCUAUUCCAUUCGUCUUGGUCAGGCUAAGCGUCGGGAACUGGCGCUUUCUUUUCUCCGCGGCGCGCCGUUUCGAGAUCGCGGCGAUGCAUAAAGCGAUUUAUUUGAAUUAAUGAGCUCGCCACACGAUGGUGCGGCAAGCCACCACCACGAGUCAUCGGCCACCGAAACACUUUGAUCCGAUCUCGGCUGCGGUAGCGAGAGGGAGAGGCCUCGUGACCACGGGGACCUCGAUAAAACACUCGUGCACACGCCCUCUUCUCUCGUCCUCUCGUCCUCGCCGUCGCCGUCUCGUUACCGUGCCGCGUUUCCACGGUUAGAAAAUCUCAUUACCAGCUCUACCUCUUUUCACCGGCUUCGAUCGGCUCGGGUCGUGAGAUCAUACCCGAUCUUUUUCCAUUCCACUCUCUCGCCCCUCCGUCCAAUUAGCCACCAUGCUUCCCUCAACUAGCGAGAUUACCUUAGAAAGUCAAUUUAGCGGCGCGAACACGUCGAAAAGUUGGACGGCGAUAUCGUUGGACGAAAUGGCGAGAUCCGUCCAACCUAGAACCUGCUCUAACGUACACCGCCAAUGGCGAAACGUUGCCGGUUGCGACACGCGUCGCGCGUCCACCGAUGUAAACCCGCUGAUACAGGAUUUAUGUUCCCCUCGCCGGUUGCUUCGGCUAAAUUACCGAUAAAUCAGCGGCGGAGGCGGCCGCGGCGUGCGGCCCCUCGUUCCGACCAUAUACAAUUCCUCCAAAUUUGGACGAAGGCGAAACCUUGGCCAAUCGAGGCGCCGCGAUCGCGGCUGGGAAACCGCGCGGUUAGAAACCUUUCGUUGCCUCUGAUAAAGCUGUACAGCUUUAGCUUUAGUUCGAAAUAAAAUCGUUCCCCGUACGCUUUGAAUUGUCGGAUUUAUGCCUGGUAAAUUAUGGAAAUAUAUGGUCGAAACUGAAGAAACUUGAAAACGGAACGUAAGAUUUUCCGAUCUUGCUUUCUUUUUAAUUUUCAACGUUCGUAAGUUUUUUUCCUUUAUUUCCAGCCUCGCGCGCUGGAAUAUCAGAAAUAAUAUAUUUGAGCGGAAAAGUUGGAACUCAUGGUGGCACGAGAUCUACGAUUCAAAUAUUUUCAACGGACAGUGGGGAUAGAUCAGUGGUAUCUAAGACAAUUUAUCACGGGGACAAUUGAAAUGGCGAGGAUCCGCGGAGAAUCGGGUCCGCGUUUCACUUUCGACGCCCACCGAUCGCGCGAGCGAUUCUUGCGAGCGCGCGCAACACGAGUUGGAGCGGGUUUCCGGGAGAGCGUGGAAGAAAGAGCAGGUUCUGUUUUGUUUUGGUGGAUUCGGCUUACCGGCACGGUCGAGCAGGUUUACGGUUUAUGUGGCAACAUAUAUUUAAAGCGUCCCUUACGAUAUGGCCGUACUGAACUUUCGGUACGCCCACGCGGCGAAACAACGCCGUGAAAGACGACUUCGUCGGCCGUCUCGGUUUCCGGAAGUGUCGUGUUUCCCGACCAAAAUCCCCGAAACUUUGCGCGAAAAAAGAAAACACCUCCUCUCGCUUCCGAUCGCGCGAAACUAAUUCGAAACUGGCUCUCGGAAAUUUCUCAAAUUACAAGAUCAUAGUGGCUCGAGUCAUUUUAACGUUUAUUUCUUUCGACAAAAAUACAAAAGUGAUUGAGCAAUAACUAAGAACGAUGAUUUAUCGUGAAGUUUUAUUCAAAAAUUGAAAAAUUUUAAUGCACGAAAAUAUCAUCUCUGGUCGAACGUUGAAAACUUGGUCGAGCAGAGAAAUAUCUUGAAAUUUCAUUUGAAAAUCGAUCGUUUUAAAUACCACGAUCGAUCUGUUCGUUGAAAAAGAUUAGCAUUUUUACAAUACGCGUCAA